GAUGAAGAACGCAGCGAAAUGCGAUAAGUAGUGUGAAUUGCAGAUUUUAGUGAAUCAUCGAAUCUUUGAACGCACAUUGCGCCCGCCAGUAUUCUGGCGGGCAUGCCUGUUCGAGCGUCAUUUCAACCAUCAAGCCCCCGGCUUGUGUUGGGGACCUGCGGCUGCCGCAGGCCCUGAAAACCAGUGGCGGGCUCGCUAGUCACUCCGAGCGUAGUAAUACAUCUCGCUCAGGGCGUGCUGCGGGUUCCGGCCGUUAAAAGCCUUAUUUACCCAAGGUUGACCUCGGAUCAGGUAGGAAGACCCGCUGAACUUAAGCAUAUCAAUAAGCGGAGGA
rnacentral:misc_RNA from 1 species